AACGAACGCUGGCGGCAUGCCUAACACAUGCAAGUCGAACGGUGGCCUUCGGGUCAUAGUGGCGCACGGGUGCGUAACGCGUGGGAAUCUGCCUUGGGGUUCGGGAUACCGGCGGGAAACUGCUGUUAAUACCGGAUGAUGUUUUGCGACCAAAGAUUUAUCGCCCUGAGAUGAGCCCGCGUCGGAUUAGCUAGUUGGUGGGGUAAAGGCUUACCAAGGCGACGAUCCGUAGCUGGUCUGAGAGGAUGAUCAGCCACACUGGGACUGAGACACGGCCCAGACUCCUACGGGAGGCAGCAGUGGGGAAUAUUGGACAAUGGGCGCAAGCCUGAUCCAGCAAUGCCGCGUGAGUGAUGAAGGCCUUAGGGUUGUAAAGCUCUUUUGCCCGGGAAGAUAAUGACGGUACCGGGAGAAUAAGCCCCGGCUAACUCCGUGCCAGCCGCCGCCGUAAUAC
rnacentral:rRNA from 1 species